rnacentral:rRNA from 1 species
UACGGAGGGUGCGAGCGUUAAUCGGAAUUACUGGGCGUAAAGCGUGCGCAGGCGGUUCGUCGUGUCCGAUGUGAAAGCCCCGGGCUCAACCUGGGAAUGGCAUUGGAAACUGGCGGACUCGAGUGUGGCAGAGGGGGGUGGAAUUCCGCGUGUAGCAGUGAAAUGCGUAGAGAUGCGGAGGAACACCGAUGGCGAAGGCAGCCCCCUGGGCUAACGCUGACGCUCAGGCA